AGUGAACGCUGGCGGUAGGCCUAACACAUGCCAGUCGAACGGCAGCACAGUAAGAGCUUGCUCUUACGGGUGGCGAGUGGCGGACGGGUGAGGAAUACAUCGGAAUCUACUUUUUCGUGGGGGAUAACGUAGGGAAACUUACGCUAAUACCGCAUACGACCUACGGGUGAAAGCAGGGGAUCUUCCGACCUUGCGCGAUUGAAUGAGCCGAUGUCGGAUUAGCUAGUUGGCGGGGUAAAGGCCCACCAAGGCGACGAUCCGUAGCUGGUCUGAGAGGAUGAUCAGCCACACUGGAACUGAGACACGGUCCAGACUCCUACGGGAGGCAGCAGUGGGGAAUAUUGGACAAUGGGCGCAAGCCUGAUCCAGCCAUACCGCGUGGGUGAAGAAGGCCUUCGGGUUGUAAAGCCCUUUUGUUGGGAAAGAAAAGCAGCAGGUUAAUACCCCGCUGUUCUGACGGUACCCAAAGAAUAAGCACCGGCUAACUUCGUG
rnacentral:rRNA from 1 species